rnacentral:rRNA from 1 species
GCUGGCGGCAGGCUUAACACAUGCAAGUCGAACGCCCCGCAAGGGGAGUGGCAGACGGGUGAGUAACGCGUGGGAACAUACCCUUUCCUGCGGAAUAGCUCCGGGAAACUGGAAUUAAUACCGCAUACGCCCUACGGGGGAAAGAUUUAUCGGGGAAGGAUUGGCCCGCGUUGGAUUAGCUAGUUGGUGGGGUAAAGGCCUACCAAGGCGACGAUCCAUAGCUGGUCUGAGAGGAUGAUCAGCCACAUUGGGACUGAGACACGGCCCAAACUCCUACGGGAGGCAGCAGUGGGGAAUAUUGGACAAUGGGCGCAAGCCUGAUCCAGCCAUGCCGCGUGAGUGAUGAAGGCCUUAGGGUUGUAAAGCUCUUUCACCGAUGAAGAUAAUGACGGUAGUCGGAGAAGAAGCCCCGGCUAACUUCGUGCCAGCAGCCGCGGUAAUACGAAGGGGGCUAGCGUUGUUCGGAAUUACUGGGCGUAAAGCGCACGUAGGCGGAUAUUUAAGUCAGGGGUGAAAUCCCGCAGCUCAACUGCGGAACUGCCUUUGAUACUGGGUAUCUUGAGUAUGGAAGAGGUAAGUGGAAUUCCGAGUGUAGAGGUGAAAUUCGUAGAUAUUCGGAGGAACACCAGUGGCGAAGGCGGCUUACUGGUCCAUUACUGACGCUGAGGUGCGAAAGCGUGGGGAGCAAACAGGAUUAGAUACCCUGGUAAGUACACGCAGUAAACGAUGAAUGUUAGCCGUCGGGCAGUAUACUGUUCCGGGGGGCGCAGCUAACGCAUUAAACAUUCCGCCUGGGGAGUACGGUCGCAAGAUUAAAACUCAAAGGAAUUGACGGGGGCCGCGCACAAGCGGUGGAGCAUGUGGUUUAAUUAGGAGCAACGCGCAGAACCUUACCAGCUCUUGACAUUCGGGGUAUGGGCAUUGGAGACGAUGUCCUUCAGUUAGGCUGCGCGCCAGAACAGGUGCUGCAUGGGGUGGGUCAGCUGGUGUCGUGAGAUGUUGGGUUAAGUCCCGCAACGAGCGCAACCCUCGCCCUUAGUUGCCAGCAUUUAGUUGGGCACUCUAAGGGGACUGCCGGUGAUAAGCCGAGAGGAAGGUGGGGAUGACGUCAAGUCCUCAUGGCCCUUACGGGCUGGGCUACACACGUGCUACAAUGGUGGUGACAGUGGGCAGCGAGACAGCGAUGUCGAGCUAAUCUCCAAAAGCCAUCUCAGUUCGGAUUGCACUAUGCAACUCGAGUGCAUGAAGUUGGAAUCGCUAGUAAUCGCAGAUCAGCAUGCUGCGGUGAAUACGUUCCCGGGCCUUGUACACACCGCCCGUCACACCAUGGGAGUUGGUUUUACCCGAAGGUAGUGCGCUAACCGCAAGGAGGCAGCUAACCACGGUAGGGUCAGCGACUG